CUAACUUCCUGAAUAAAUGAGUCUACAGCAUGCUCUGUUACUCCCUGACUCCUGGUGCCUGAGUCCUUGGUGCUGCAUCUUCUUACCCCCUCCCCCAAGGGGUGUCCGAGUAGGGUAACCACAAUAUUUGGCGUCUAAACGUGGGGUUCGGCCCUACUUGAAUCAGGGUGUAUUCUUAUUUUCCGUCGCCGAGGCUGUUUUUUAUUUGGGCCCUGAUCUUUGACUUUUGUUGGUGGUGGUGCAUCGUCGGAUCCUACGUUGGUGCACUUUCACUUUUUCUGUCUGCACCCUUUCAGACUCCUCUUUACUCUUCGGCACUCCCUCUUCCAGUGACUUGUUCCAUGAGUUCCCUGCCUGUUUUAUGUCCUUGGUCCUCGCAAAGUGUAUUUCCACACUCUAGGUUCUCAUGGCACUUCGACACCCAGAACGUGGCCCUGCUUGGGAGGUCUCUUGGGCCUGGCUCACAGAAAUUCCUGAGGCAUCAGUUUGACAGGCACUCCUCCCACCCUGGCAUGCUUCCCAGAGAUGUCAUCCUUCAAGGGCUGGUAGUCAAUGACCGGUAAGGACCUGUGAGGCAGGCCAACCUAAAACAGGCAUGGUCCAUCAUGCGGGAUGCUCUCCGAGGCAGGGACAACAAGGCCAAAGCUAGAACUUGGACUCCCGCUAAGCUGAAUUAGAAAAAAAGGGGGGGGGUAGAUAUGUAGGAGAAACUGCGGCCAGCCUACCCAAGCUGCAAUUGCCCUGCCCCUGGUGCCCAGGCCAGACCACAUGUGCAUGUGCAGCAGGCACUUCCUCCCUGAGCCAAGCUACCAAGUCUGCUUUAACGCACAGAGACUGCUGAUGGAGAGACAUAUGACCCAAAGACACCAAUGAGAAAAGGACAUACAACAGAGUCAGCCGCCUGAGCCAAUGGGACCUUGGGAGGGUGUAUAAAGGCAGGUCUAGCUUCCUUAAUAAAG
rnacentral:lncRNA from 1 species